AACCACCAACCCUACACAUGUCAAAGUGAUCCUAGUUACUGAUUUUUUUAUUUUUAUCCACAGAUGCUUGUCAUGAUGUGUAUGAAAAGAAGUUAAGUUGGAACAAGGAGGAAAAAGAAGUAUUUUGGGUUUUCAUGAGAAAAAUAAAUAUUAUAGAGUUAAAUCUAUAUUGUGCAGUAAUUGCAACACUUGAUAUAGCUGUUAGGAAUAAUGAAUCAUGACAAAGAUGCACCAGGCAGUGGAUGAAAAGAGUGAAUAACAAACAACCUUGUGACAACAUGUGUACAUGAAUUAUGGCUGCUCUGUUUCAGGAGAACAGAAAGAAUAUGACUGGUGUGGGAACCAUCAAGAAAGGUUUUAACAGUAUGAAGAGAAAUUGUCCUAACUGUUCCUUAGAAGAGGAACAAGAAAGCAUUUGUAUUGUAGGUUUGUGGUGUGCCUGUCUGUGACACUCAUGUGCAGUCUUUUGAGGCAUCCUGGCUUUAGAAAGGAUUUGGAGCACUACCUGCAAGUGCUCUCAGAGGCCGCUUGAAGAAAGAAGAAAGGAUUGGGGUAAAGAUUUUCAUGGAGAUUUUUAUUUUCACAUGAUCAAUCGUCCAACUGAAGCAAUGCAUGGUACAGAGGUGUGGGAAACAUGGCAUGCAACCUUACAUAGACUAAGAUAAGUUUCCAUAUUUGUUAAAUUUGUUAAGCUUGUUAUGUUUGUUAAUUUUUUACAAAUACACUCAAUUUUAAAAAUUAUUGGUUUGUAAAUAAUUUUUAAUCAGAAAUCAGAAUAUGGAAUCAGACUGAAUCUUUUGAAAAACAUUAUCUGUUGUAACCAGCACGUUCAACUGCAGUCAUAAUUCAUGUCAUUCAACUGCUGCAACUUAUUCUUCUAGUUUUUCUAGCAUAUGGAUUUAACCCCUAUGCGUAAGUUUUCACAAUCAGUCAAGGUUAAAUUCAUCUUUGAUGUAAAACAGUUUUUUCAAUGAAGUGUUAAAAUUUGCUAGAUCUUUAAUGUGAUUAAUUAUGAAAUCUGAAGUUUUGAUAAUUUUUUCAUCAUCAGCACUGAUCUAAAAGUAGGGUUUUUUUAAGUCUCCAUCUCUGAAUACUUUGGCCUUACAUUUUCUUUUGAAAUAUUUCAUUUAAUGCACACAAUGUCUUGAAGGCUGCUGUCUUAUUCUCUACAUGGCUGAAGAAUUUUCAGGUUUGCUGAACUUAAAAUCAAACUUGUGCUGUACCAUGACACUGAUUUAUCUUAUUUUGUCUGGCUUGGCAUCUCACAUCAGAUCUGUACUUUAGGAAAAGAGACACAUAACACAACUUAAAGUUUGCUUCAAUCAAAGUAUGAAUUUCUGCAGUGAUGGCUUUGGAACACUUCUAGUUACUCUGUUUUUAUUUCAGUACUUUGAUAAAUAGUGCCAUAACUCUUCCUUCUUUUACUUCAUCUGAAUUUGUGCAUCAAAAAUGAUCUCAAAUGAUAAGGUCUCUCAGGCAGAUAAACCCAGCCCUUCCAAUCUAGGAAUAAAAAUCUUUUUUGCCUUUUAAGGUUUGUUUUU
rnacentral:lncRNA from 1 species